rnacentral:lncRNA from 7 species
CCGAACCUGCCCUCCCCAUAAAAGUUGUGGCGCAGGGCGCCCACCGAUUUGAUUCACCAGAAGCAAUCCCACGCCAACGUAGCCACCGGGUGAGAUACGCCUAGGGGUAUGAGCACGGGGUGAAAGCAGGCCGCCGCUGUGGAUUCUCGCCGGCGGUGAGAAUCGACCCCCCCCCCCCCCCACAGAACAGCACAACGGUGUUCCGGGCCCUAGCUAGGUUGUGUGAGGGGUUAAUCGGGUGGAAGGCCGCUGUUGACCUGGGAAUUGCUCAUCGUGGUUGGAGAAAGCCGUGGGUGACGCGAAUUGCGUCGAAGCUAGGUGCCACCGCCCCCAAUUUGAGGUAAAACCACUCUCAUCCACUUCGUCCCACUCCCCGAUGCGCAUAGC